rnacentral:rRNA from 1 species
CACUCCUACGGGAGGCAGCAGUGGGGAAUUUUGGACAAUGGGCGAAAGCCUGAUCCAGCAAUGCCGCGUGAGUGAAGAAGGCCUUCGGGUUGUAAAGCUCUUUUGUCAGGGAAGAAACGGUGAAAGCUAAUAUCUUUUGCUAAUGACGGUACCUGAAGAAUAAGCACCGGCUAACUACGUGCCAGCAGCCGCGGUAAUACGUAGGGUGCAAGCGUUAAUCGGAAUUACUGGGCGUAAAGCGUGCGCAGGCGGUUUUGUAAGUCUGAUGUGAAAUCCCCGGGCUCAACCUGGGAAUUGCAUUGGAGACUGCAAGGCUAGAAUCUGGCAGAGGGGGGUAGAAUUCCACGUGUAGCAGUGAAAUGCGUAGAUAUGUGGAGGAACACCGAUGGCGAAGGCAGCCCCCUGGGUCAAGAUUGACGCUCAUGCACGAAAGCGUGGGGAGCAAACAGGAUGAGAUACCCCGGUAGUCCCAUG